GAUGAACGCUGGCGGCGUGCCUAAUACAUGCAAGUCGAGCGAACAGACGAGGAGCUUGCUCCUCUGACGUUAGCGGCGGACGGGUGAGUAACACGUGGAUAACCUACCUAUAAGACUGGGAUAACUUCGGGAAACCGGCGCUAAUACCGGAUAAUAUAUUGCACCGCAUGGUUCAAUAGUGAAAGACGGUUUUGCUGUCACUUAUAGAUGGAUCCGCGCCGCAUUAGCUAGUUGGUAAGGUAACGGCUUACCAAGGCAACGAUGCGUAGCCGACCUGAGAGGGUGAUCGGCCACACUGGAACUGAGACACGGUCCAGACGCCUACGGGAGGCAGCAGUAGGGAAUCUUCCGCAAUGGGCGAAAGCCUGACGGAGCAACGCCGCGUGAGUGAUGAAGGUCUUCGGAUCGUAAAACUCUGUUAUUAGGGAAGAACAAAUGUGUAAGUAACUAUGCACGUCUUGACGGUACCUAAUCAGAAAGCCACGGCUAACUACGUG
rnacentral:rRNA from 1 species